GAUGAACGCUGGCGGCGUGCCUAAUACAUGCAAGUCGAGCGAACAGACGAGGAGCUUGCUCCUCUGACGUUAGCGGCGGACGGGUGAGUAACACGUGGAUAACCUACCUAUAAGACUGGGAUAACUUCGGGAAACCGGAGCUAAUACCGGAUAAUAUAUUGAACCGCAUGGUUCAAUAGUGAAAGACGGUUUUGCUGUCACUUAUAGAUGGAUCCGCGCCGCAUUAGCUAGUUGGUAAGGUAACGGCUUACCAAGGCAACGAUGCGUAGCCGACCUGAGAGGGUGAUCGGCCACACUGGAACUGAGACACGGUCCAGACUCCUACGGGAGGCAGCAGUAGGGAAUCUUCCGCAAUGGGCGAAAGCUUGACGGAGCAACGCCGCGUGAUUGAUGAAGGUCUUCGGAUCGUAAAACUCUGUUAUUAGGGAAGAACAAAUGUGUAAGUAACUAUGCACGUCUUGACGGUACCUAAUCAGAAAGCCACGGCUAACUACGU
rnacentral:rRNA from 1 species